rnacentral:lncRNA from 1 species
ACACUUGAUUGCAUCAUCUGUGGACUCUAGACCCUGUAUGUGAAGCAGAGUAGGGCCAUGUGAUGGCUAGCCAGGCCUGGUUUAAAAUAUUUCUAAAGGUGAUGGCUAGAAUUUUUCAUGUAAAAGAAAACUGUAAAACUAUGUAGAAUUUCUGAUGACCAUAUCUUUGUCACCGCAGGGUUGUGGUCCCACCGUCGCCAGGGACUCUAGACGCAACGAGUAGUUUGAGAGCAACUCCAUCAGACGCGUUAUAUAAGUGAAAUGUUGAAAAAAUAACUUUUUAGUGCGCUCACGUCCUCGUCGACCGGUCCAACAGAGAUGUUAAAGUAGUGUGUCUGUUAGAG